CUUCAGCACAGACUGAGGCACCUCAGUAAAGUAGAACAGCAUCAACAGGAGCAACAAGCCACCUCCAGCCCCACAGCACUCACUGGCCUGCUUAGCCACACAUUUUGGGAGGAGGACUCAUGGAGGAGCAUUUGAGGGCUCACUGAGACUUACCUGAUGUCCAGAAGUCUGAAAUCUGUGCUAGGCAUAUGUAUUUUCCUCAGCCUUCUUCCAUAAGUGCACCUGCAAGUGUGGAAAUGGAAACCUGUUUGCUGGGACAACGGAUGAGACACAGCACCCGUUCAGCCACUUCUCACCCAGGGGCUGCUUUGGGGGUAAGUCUGAAAAGUCAGGCAGAACACCCAAUGCUUUUGAAAACCAGGCAUGACAAGAACCAGGAUCUCUUUUUAUCAAAGAUUGCUGGCAAUAUAGUUCAGGACAUGGAGGGGAAAAAUAGUUAAUUUUUCACAAAAUUUCCUAUUUCUAAUUGCAAAUUCUAGACACAAUUUAAAAAUCUGAAUGUUAUUUUGAAAGGUAGUUUAAAAUGUUAUAUUAAUGGCUAAGUUUUAUAUAGAUAUUUUCUCACUGUAUCUUCACAUAUUCGUAACUAGUUGGUGCCGUGUGCAGUAUUAUUAGGCAAUAGAGCAGUUGAAAAAUGGUUUAAUUUUACUGGCAUAUCACUAAGCACUCCUGCUAUCUGGUACAAAAACACCUGCAACACUCAUAAAUCUCCUAUUUGUUUUGUAAUGAAAUAACUUCAACAGCCUCAGCAUUACAACACAAACAGGAAGCACUCUGUACUAAGAAAGAAGACAGUUUUACUAAGUGGAUAUCAUAAUCUUUAUCUGUCAGUAAUUUAUCUGUUACUAAUUGCACUUAAUAAUUUUUUGGAAGAACCCUUUAAAAAUGUAAAUAAAAAAUGAAAUUAAAAAAAUCUUUCUCAUCUCUGAAUUAGACUUUAAAAAUGGCUAUAAUUUCUGCUUUUUUCCUAAAUUAAAAAAAAAAACCAACAAAAUCUUAACUAUUUCCAGUGAAAUAUAAAAUCGGAACUUCCUCCAUCUACAAAGAAAACAAAGACGUUCAGUAGCAUGUUGCUGAUCUUGUUACCAGUUUUGUGUUUGGAGGGUUUUUUUGGUGGUAUCAUAAAUAAUAGCUUACAUUCUAAAUACUUCCUUUUUGAAUUACAUGCCAGGUCAAAUUCUGCUUUUAUUAUUCAUUAAGUACUUAUGCUAGCUCACAGGUAUUUUGGGGAUAUUAUCCAUCAUAAAACUGGGACAGAUUUUGCAGUCUCCUAUCUAUUUCAUUCUACCUUCCCUUUUUUUAAUGACUUACAUUAAAAGCAUCGCCUUAGAAACACCACAAUAUGAUGAACUCUCACUUGAUUUUGCACUUCUUUCACACCUAAAUUACUGGACAAAGAGUUUAUCAGUAGAUCGCUGGUGAAUUCCUUUCCAAAGCACCAAUAUGGAUCAGUUCUAUCAUACUCAAUGCCAGACAAUUUGGGUAAGUUUUAGAAGAAGCUGAGAAGUUGUUUCUUAUUUUGGUUUCUAUUACACUUCUAUGCAGUGUGUAAGUUAUUUAUGUAAUUUAUUUGGAUGCUUUAUUAAAUCAUUGCACUUUCUUUUUUUUUUCUUGGUUGUUUGACCUUGUAUGAUAUUUAGCACUCAAGAGUGGUGUGAGAGGGGACAUUUGUAUCUUAUUUUAUGUUUAGAAGGGGAAUUCUGCUUUGGCUCUGUUGUGGCUGUUGACAAACACUGACAAGGGCAGCCCCGGCCAGUUAAUCUUUUGCAAAGUUAUGCCAAACCAAUUACAGAAAUCCGAUAUGAAGCACUCAUCUUCAGCUUCCCAGUUGCCAAAUACACCAGUUUUUUCCCCACAGUAUCUUCCUAAGCAAGCACACCAGUACAAGAGAAUUGACUUGUGUAUCUUGACAUUUUGCACACCUUUUCUCCUAAUAUUUCCUUUUCUCACCACCUACAACUGUUUCCCCAAUGCCAACACAUAUUUUGUAAGAUCUGUGGUUGAUGGCUGAAAACUCCCCCAACCUCCAAUUGCUAUUUGCUAUGUGAUUAGACAGGUCAAGUUUAAUUUCAGCACCGUGCAUGAAUCUGUUAUCCAAUCAUCCUAAUGAUACACUUCUCAAACCAGCAGUGGGGCUGAGGAUGGAAAGAAAACCUUGAUUGUAAGUUGUCUGCCAAUGAUUGGAGUUAGUUAUGAAAGAACACUAACGCAAUCAUCCUUGGCUCCCUUCGCCAAAGGUGGGAACGUUCAUAUCUCUUCAUUGUCCCUGGACCUGGAGCUGUGUGACAGAUGAGUAAAGGUAGAAGAUACAACCCCUCCUCAGAUGAAUAUUGCUCUCCAGGUUACAUAAGCCGGCCUGCUGAAUCAAGAAACCACCAGUGGCAGUCCCAGAUAACUUGUUUUGGUUUGCCAUUUCAUCAGUAGUUGCACGUGCUUGAGGCACUCACAUGUUUAGUGGAAGAUGUCUUGCAUCUUCCUGGAUGGCAUACAUGCCUUGCUGCAUACCCUGCCAGGGCCUGAGCAUCUCCCAGCAAAGAGCCCUCCAGCCAGCAAGAUGUGCUCCUUGAUAAGGGAGGAAUCACUGCCAGAUCAAGACAGCAAUGGUGAGACGCAGGAACAGGCUGAAUCAGCACAGGCAGAUCAAAACGCCAGCACAGCUGUCACAUCUGCACGCUAAAGUUUCUUGCAGGGAAGUGAAAUAGCUCGAGAAGGGAACUCCUUGCCUCUAGUUUUCAUAAUGCCACUCCAGAGCUGCUCUGUAUGCACACUUUGCCUCUUUGAGACUCUUUGGAAUGUCUAUUAUCCAUGGGAAAAAACCCUUUCCCAAUACAGACUGUAAGCAGAGGCACCAGAGUCAAGCAGGAGCAUUGGAACACUUGUUCUACAGUGAACUAGAGCCUUUAUUUGUAGCUGUCCUGCGACUGCACCUCCCAUCCCCACUUCCAAAAUACCUCCUUGUCCUUGAAUGUGCCAAACACAAAAUCUGGCACUAAGAGCUGACUUCUGUGAAAACAUAAAUUGACAGAUUACCUUCUUUUUUAAGAAGCCCCACUUAUUCCAUUCUUCCCAGAGCCAAGUACUGGUAUGCAGUCAUGUAAGAAUAAAAUACACUCUCUUUUAAAUCACUUUUCAUUUCUGUGCUGGGGUUGUCCUGGCUAUAUAACCUCUGAGCUGCUGGCAGCAUGGUCUUUUGCCCACCCAGGCUCUACCCACAACAAACCACAUGGGCAAUACAUUUAUGAGAAAAGCUCAGCCCUCAAACACAGAGGAAAGGGAUCAGACAACUGCUGGCUCCAGGCAAGGACCUGCCAGGGCUCCCUCCAUGAACUUGAGCAAAUCACAGAAUUAUAGAAUUGUAAAGGUCAGAAAAGACAACUAAGAUUACGGAACUCAUCAGUUACCACCCCAGCCUCCUCAGUGGUAAAACAGGUCCCUAUAUCAGACACCUGAGCAAACAUAAUCAUCUCAUAAUACUAAUUCUGUAGUUUUACUAAUUUCAUAGAAUUCCAGAAUGGUUUGGGUUGGAAGGGACCUUAAAGAUCAACUAGUUCCUUCUGCCAUGGGCAGGGACA